rnacentral:rRNA from 1 species
AAACGCGAGAGUUUGAUCCUGGCUCAGGACGAACGCUGGCGGCGUGCCUAACACAUGCAAGUCGAGCGGGGAACGGAU